rnacentral:rRNA from 1 species
UGGGGAAUAUUGCACAAUGGGCGCAAGCCUGAUGCAGCCAUGCCGCGUGGAUGAAGAAGGCCUUCGGGUUGUAAAGUACUUUCAGCGGGGAGGAAGGUGUUGAGGCUAAUAACCUCAGCAAUUGACGUUACCCGCAGAAGAAGCACCGGCUAACUCCGUGCCAGCAGCCGCGGUAAUACGGAGGGUGCAAGCGUUAAUCGGAAUUACUGGGCGUAAAGCGCACGCAGGCGGUCUGUCAAGUCGGAUGUGAAAUCCCCGGGCUCAACCUGGGAACUGCAUUCGAAACUGGCAGGCUAGAGUCUUGUAGAGGGGGGUAGAAUUCCAGGUGUAGCGGUGAAAUGCGUAGAGAUCUGGAGGAAUACCGGUGGCGAAGGCGGCCCCCUGGACAAAGACUGACGCUCAGGUGCGAAAGCGUGGGGAGCAAACA